CACGAAGGGGACUAGCGUUGUUCGGAAUCACUGGGCGUAAAGCGCACGUAGGCGGAUGUGUCAGUCAGGGGUGAAAUCCCGGGGCUCAACCUCGGAACUGCCUUUGAUACAGCACGUCUCGAGUCCGGAAGAGGUGGGUGGAAUUCCUAGUGUAGAGGUGAAAUUCGUAGAUAUUAGGAAGAACACCGGUGGCGAAGGCGGCCCACUGGUCCGGUACUGACGCUGAGGUGCGAAAGCGUGGGGAGCAAACAGG
rnacentral:rRNA from 1 species